GGUGCUGUAGUGUAGUGGUCAUCAUGAAUCGUUGUGGUUAAACAACAAUUCCGAUUCGACCUGGGUUCGAUUCCCAGCAGCGCCA
rnacentral:tRNA from 1 species